rfam:Saprolegnia diclina VS20 unplaced genomic scaffold supercont1.21, whole genome shotgun sequence.
GUGUUCGUUGAACCGAGAGACGGUUAGCAUCUCCCUCGACAAGGACGAGAUUACGCUUCGGCGUACUUUAAACUCCGGUUUAGGCUCUGGUACUCGUACCAUCUGACCAUUUUUUUGA